GUGAGCGUAGCUCAGCGGUAGAGCCCCGGAUUGUGGCUCCGGUGGUCGUGGGUUCGACUCCCAUCGCUCACCCCA
rnacentral:tRNA from 1 species